rnacentral:rRNA from 1 species
CCUACGGGAGGCAGCAGUAGGGACUCUUUCACAAUGGGCGAAAGCCUGAUGGAGCAACGCCGCGUGCAGGAUGAAGGCCUUCGGGUUGUAAACUGCUUUUAUAAGCGAGAAAUAUGAUGGUAACUUAUGAAUAAGGAUCGGCUAACUACGUGCCAGCAGCCGCGGUAAUACGUAGGGAGCGAGCGUUGUCCGGAAUUACUGGGUGUAAAGGGAGCGUAGGCGGGGAUGCAAGUUGGGUGUCAAAACUACCGGCUCAACUGGUAGUCGCACUCAAAACUGCAGCUCUUGAGGGAAGUAGAGGCAGGCGGAAUUCCUAGUGUAGCGGUGAAAUGCGUAGAUAUUAGGAGGAACACCAGUGGCGAAGGCGGCCUGCUGGGCUUUUACUGACGCUGAGGCUCGAAAGUGUGGGGAGCAAACAGGAUUAGAUACCCCUGUAGUC